rnacentral:lncRNA from 1 species
CAAAAAUGUAACAGGAGGGUCGGGUGUCUAUGUGUCACCGUUCCCCCGUGAGUACUUAUGUGAACCUGGAAUCGCCAACAAAAUCCAACACCAACAACCUUUGACCUUAAACCAGUGUAAAUGUAAUUUAUUCCAUUUAUAACCCAAAAUACUGUUAACGACGGAUGCCUUUUAUAUUGGUCUCAAUGGCAAAUAUAUAACACAAACUUCUGAGUUAGCAAUUCAGGUUUCUCGUUCGUUCCUCUGGGAGAUUGUGUUUUGGUAGAGAAGACUCAAGAUUUAUUAAGUUCAGAUACUUUAUAUAGAAAUAACAUAAAUCAACAUGUAACAAUUAACAAGUGUAAACAAGAUCCAAAAUCAGUAUAAUUAUAUCAAAAAGGCAAAGAAAACUAUAAACAGUUUUCUUCAAUUUAACUUCAAUAAAUCGGUACUUUGUUUACAACAAAAAUAGAGCACCAAACAACAAAAUAUGCAAAAAUAAACUUAUUUCUUUCUUUAAAUUGAAUUUAUAUAAAAAGAAGUGUAGUAGCUAUCUAAAUAUUAGUGUUGAAAUAUCGGAACACCCUCCCUACGGAAAGUCGAGUGCACCGCGACACGUGGAUGAAUAUGGCUAUCUAUUUAUAAAUUAACAUCGCAAAAUUACUAAAUAAAUCUAGAAUCAGAAGAACACACUGCGGUGAACGAUUGAAAAGUUUUACCAAAUAAAAUUCUACAUUUUUAUCUUAAAAAUUAACCAGUCUACUUAAAAGGGGGACAAUAUUUAAUCAAACAUUUAGUAACUGACAAAAUCUCGGCUAUAUAUAUAGAGAGAGGAGAGAGAAGUAGACCUUACUCAAGUCACUGGCCAAGAGACAAACUUAACUUCGAAACGGCCGCUUUUAUACCACCGUUGACCAAUCAAAUUAAUUAUUCAAAUUUGUUUUCCUUAACCCAUAAUUAGCCAAUGAAAAUCGCGGUAUCAGACAUCAUUCGGAAUCAGUGCCAAAAUGGAUGACAUAAUAACAUUUCAAGAUUUCCAAAAUGAAAUAUCGGAACUAUCUACUUAAAAACACAAUUUACACCCAAAAAUAUGUAAGACAAAGUUAAACUAGAUGGUAAGUGACAACGUCUCUCCCUCUUAUGUGAACACGAACUAUAAAAUUUAAAUUAUAUACGAAAAACCGGCAAAAGUUAUUUUUACAGGCAAUUUUAUCAAAACAAUUAAUUUGCAUAAUCCAAUUCCGCUACACUCCUCCCCACUUAAAUCAAAUUAUCUGUUAUAAAAUUAAAGAUAAUUUUAUCAACUUAAAUAUAUUUCCAGAUUAA